UAAGGUCAUCACGUUUUGUCC
rnacentral:miRNA from 1 species